rfam:Spironucleus salmonicida unplaced genomic scaffold scf7180000020620, whole genome shotgun sequence.
GAUUCUAUGGUGUAGUUGGUUAGCACGUUUGUUUGACGUACAAGUGGUCCCGAGUUCAAGUCUCGGUAGAAUCA